AUGAACGCUAGCGGCAGGCUUAAUACAUGCAAGUCGAGGGGCAGCGGGAGUAGCAAUACUUGCCGGCGACCGGCGCACGGGUGCGUAACACGUAUAUAAUCUACCUGAAACUGGAGGAUAGCCCGAAGAAAUUCGGAUUAAUACUCCAUAACAUUGCGAGAUGGCAUCAUUUUGCAAUUAAAGCUCCGGCGGUUUCGGAUGAGUAUGCGUUCGAUUAGCUAGUUGGUGAGGUAACGGCUCACCAAGGCGACGAUCGAUAGGGGUACUGAGAGGUUACACCCCCACACUGGUACUGAGACACGGACCAGAAUCCUACGGGAGGCAGCAGUAAGGAAUAUUGGACAAUGGUCGCAAGACUGAUCCAGCCAUGCCGCGUGCAGGAUGACUGCCCUAUGGGUUGUAAACUGCUUUUGUACUGGAAUAAACCCCUCUACGUGUAGAGGGCUGAAUGUACCGUAAGAAUAAGGAUUGGCUAACUUCGU
rnacentral:rRNA from 1 species